CUUCAAUAAUCAAAUACUUUGACAUGUUAGUAACAAUAUCAGACCAAAAAUUGUCGCACUUUUACUCAAAAGAGGGUGUUUAAAUUCGCCGCCCACUGAAUUUCGCGGAUUCAAAAUCGUGAGCUCGACUUAACGUUUUUGUUACUUUCAUUUUCAGAGUUUUCCCGGCAAUGGCAAUUUAAUGCCAGGCUGCAAGUCAUUAGGUGGCGCCUGCACCUCUGACCCUCGAAAACCUGCCCCUCGAGCAAAGACCGCUGAAAAGCGAAAGGCGAACUCACGUCAAGUUCAACCUUUGACCUCAGCUCUCUGCGGUUGUGGCUGGGUGGGUGGUGAGUGCAUUUCAUUUCAGUUUUUGGUCCCCCCGCUGCCUUAGGAAAUUUCGCUCACUGAAUUCCGACACGCGUUUUAAUUGAAUUUGUAUGCAAAUCUGCGGCAGCAACUUUAAUAUAAAUUUAAUAAAAAGGCGGCGUAAAGAUGUUAAGGCUAACUUGCUGGCGGGCUUUUGCCUUUCACUCACGCACUGCUGACGCAGUCGAGGGUCGUAAAUUAAAAAGAUAAAUAAAGAUGUUACUCAUAAACACAAAUAUUAAUGAUACCGAAAAACAAAGCAAAAACCAGCGAGUGGCAUUUAAAGACUAAAGGAUCGCUGGUAAAAUGAGUUUGGCCGAUUGCGUAUUUAGAAUACUGAUUAUUAUCUGAACACUGUGUUGCUAUCUAUUUUAUUUGUCUGCCGGUUUGUUUAUCUUUCAAAUAAGCUGGGAGUGGUUUAAUUUCCAUCAUAAAUGCCCAAGGAUCUAUCAACAUCACCGCACUAUUUUAAAUUUCGUAUUUAUCCGCCAUAUAACUCAGUGAUACUCGCUGGCAGCAAAUGUCCCAUUAGCCAAGCUCCUUCUCUUUCAUCUUCGAAAAGUGCGUGCCAGCGUGGAUAUCCAAAUAUAGACACUCGAAGUAUUCAUAAAUCUUUCAACAAUUUGUUUGUUUGAUGGCUGGGUUGACGUCAUGUGUUCGUUCGUCGGCUGCACUCACUGAACAUUGAAAUGUUUGCACUUUGCGUAUUUAUCUUUUAAUUGAGUCAUAAAAUCAACGAAAAGCCAAAAGGGGGGCACCAAAGCCGGUCGGAAGACGAAAAGUGGAAAUAUUUACGGUUUGCGAUUGGCAAAGAAAAAUAAAAUGACGUCGAAAAGUGGCGAGAAAAGCCCAGCGACGGUCCACCGCGAAAUUGACUCUUUGAACCCAGAAAGAGGUGGGUAACUUGAGCAAGUUGCAAGGUUGCCGUGGUCACACCUCCGCCUAAGUGGAUUGAUUUUCAAUUUCAGUUGAGACAGCCUGGCGGCGGCGCAAUGUAGUAUAUGCCUUAUAUACGAGUACACUCUCAUCAUCGUCAUCGUUGAGACAUGAGCUCAUGGCAAACUUUUUAGCGUUAUUAAAUCUAUCUAGUAUUUAUGACUCUCGCCGGCGAACGUAAUUUAACCGCAGCCGAGUAAACAAAUCGCCAGGGAAGACACGUAUAACUGGCACCACUUACACUGGUCAGCCUUAGUGUUUUGA